ensembl:misc_RNA
AAACAGCCUCCUUCAAAAUGCAGCUUGACUAAUUCAUGGCACAAAGCUGGAAUAACCCUGCCAGGUCUUAGAAGCUUUAAGAUUCAUCGUUUUGAACUUGAUACACAUAGUACAGCGCCUUAAAAACGAAUCAUCUGCUAGUUCACUAUUUUCUACUUACAAUCACUCCCUCCCAGGGCAUGUAAUUAAUUUACUGAGCUUAAAAAAAAAAAAUC